GGGACGAACGCUGGCGGCGUGCUUAACACAUGCAAGUCGAGCGGUAAGGCCUUUCGGGGUACACGAGCGGCGAACGGGUGAGUAACACGUGGGUGAUCUGCCCUGCACUCUGGGAUAAGCCUGGGAAACUGGGUCUAAUACCGGAUAUGACCUGCUCUCGCAUGGGGGUGGGUGGAAAGAUUUAUCGGUGCAGGAUGGGCCCGCGGCCUAUCAGCUUGUUGGUGGGUAAUGGCCUACAAGGCGACGACGGGUAGCCGACCUGAGAGGGUGACCGGCACACUGGGACUGAGACACGGCCCAGACUCCUACGGGAGGCAGCAGUGGGGAAUAUUGCACAAUGGGCGAAAGCCUGAUGCAGCGACGCCGCGUGAGGAUGAAGGCCUUCGGGUUGUAAACCUCUUUCAGCAGGACGAAGCG
rnacentral:rRNA from 1 species